rnacentral:lncRNA from 1 species
GCCUAGACAAUGAUAAACACAAGUUUAUAAAAAUCCUAUCCAAAAUAUACUACAAAAAUUCUUAGACAACCAUUCUUUAAUAAAUAUUUCAUCCAAUAAUUCUCUAAGAUACUUUUUGAAAUUAAAUGAGUGUCUACAUUCUUUUUGUGGAUAAAUAAUAAGGAUUUUAGAUCAAGGUCUUCUUUCAUCAAUAUACUAAGCAUUGAUACUUUGCAUCUUUUAUCAAAAAAAUUACUAGAUUGUAAAUUAUUUAUUCACAAUAGGUAGCAUUAUUCUGCAUUAUCCUCUAAAAAUCCCCUCAACUAAUAUUUCUUUAGG